AAGGAGCGAUGUCCUUCCUGCCAAAUUAUCAGCAGGCUUUCAUACAAAGCUUCUAAAAACCUGCCAGUGACAUUGACAAAUUGUCACCACUUACUCCAUUACAGUAAUCCUCUGAAACGCAAAGCACUAAAAUUACUUGCUCCAGGUCACAAAGAAAUCAACUACACCUAAGAGCCCUGAACACCAAAGUUCUUCUCCCAGAAGAAAAGACAGCACCCGGGACCAUCAGGGGCUGCAAAGUCCCUUUCACAUCCAUUCGGGUCAACCGCUGAUUUAGGUCGGUGCUGCCAGAACCAGAAACGCUGGGAGCCAGAAAAGCGGCUAAGACCCACCACCAUCCCGGGGGCACCGUUAGAAAGAACCGCAAGUGUCACCACACGAGACACUCAAGACGGAGACACGCCCUGCCUGGAUUGCGGCAAAGGGUGAGUGUUAGAAAGGGGGGGUGGCCGUGAGGUUACGGACUAGGUGGGUCCUUCCUCUCCCGGCAGCAGGCGUUCGGCGUUCGAUUCCAGAGGACAAAGGGGGUGGGGGGUAGGGUCACCCUAGUGUUUCGGAUGCUUUAUAUCGGAAGGCGUCACUUACUGCCGAGAACUAGGCCGACGGCUGGGGACGAAGCUGCACGCACCCCAACGACGUGCUGAGCUCCAGACCCGGCAAUUAAGAAGAACGAGUGAUAAUGUUCAUUUGGCAGUUUCCUGGGGUUCUCCAUUGGUUGAAACCAACCAGAACCAGAUGGUAGGAGAGUAAGCCUGUGGAUAUAGUCUACUGUGUUCCUCACGGUCCAGCACAGGAUACAGAGUAGAUCUGGGGAACAGAGGACAUGCAGCAAAGUUCCACCAUCCAUCUAUAACCACUAGCAACAUUUUAGAGUUUCUCCACCCAGAUAUUCUUUUAUAUAUAAAAAUAUGUUUGUGUUUGCUGUUUCUUGACUUUCUUCUUUCCCCAAGGAAACUGGGACACUUCCAUAUAUUCCGUAUCACAAAAUCAGAGAACUGAAAGGGACCUUAGCAUUAUCUACUUAAAGGGUGGGUCUAGGUGU